GUGUGUUGCUGAGAAAAGCAGCUCAUCAUCUCAGAGGGACUGCAGACGCACACACAUACAGACACACAAGCGGAGCUCUAGAACAAUCAAUGCAGAAUUAAAACAACACAAACGCGCUGUAAUUCCCUGACAUCUCGUGCAGGGUGAUUGGGUUUUAUUCGGUAAGCUCGUGCAGGUGCUGAUCGUCGGAAUCAUGGGGAACCGCGGGAUGGAGGAUUUGAUUCCUCUCGUGAACCGAAUGCAGGACGCGUUUUCCGCCAUCGGUCAGAAUUCGGAUCUCGAUCUGCCGCAGAUCGCGGUGGUGGGCGGACAGAGCGCCGGUAAAAGCUCCGUAUUGGAGAACUUCGUGGGAAAGGACUUCCUCCCGCGAGGUUCAGGUAUCGUCACCCGUCGUCCUCUGAUUCUACAGCUCGUCCAGUGUCCCACAGAAUAUGCAGAGUUCCUUCACUGCAAAGGGAAGAAGUUCACAGAUUUCGAUGAGGUGCGUCAGGAGAUCGAGGCGGAGACGGAUCGCAUCACGGGGCAGAAUAAAGGCAUCUCACCUGUACCGAUCAACCUGCGGGUUUACUCUCCAAACGUGCUGAAUCUGACAUUGGUUGAUCUACCAGGGAUGACCAAAGUACCGGUGGGAGAUCAGCCGGCGGACAUCGAGCAUCAGAUCCGAGAAAUGCUCAUGCAGUUUGUAACUAAAGAUAACUGUCUGCUGCUGGCCGUGUCACCCGCUAACUCCGAUCUCGCCAACUCUGAUGCCCUGAAGAUUGCCAAAGAAGUCGACCCGCAGGGUUUGCGUACUAUUGGUGUGAUCACUAAGCUCGAUCUUAUGGACGAAGGCACAGAUGCUCGCGACAUCCUGGAAAACAAGUUGCUACCACUUCGGAGAGGUUACAUUGGUGUGGUGAACCGCAGUCAGAAAGACAUUGAUGGAAGAAAGGAUAUAAACGCUGCCAUGGCCGCAGAGCGGAAGUUUUUCCUGUCUCAUCCCAGUUACAGACACCUGGCUGAUCGCAUGGGAACGCCGUACCUGCAAAAAGUCCUGAAUCAGCAAUUGACCAAUCACAUCCGUGAUACACUGCCUGGGCUGCGAGCUAAACUGCAGAGCCAGCUGCUGUCUAUCGAGAAGGAAGUGGAGGAGUACAAGAACUUCCGUCCGGACGAUCCGUCCCGGAAGACCAAAGCCCUGCUCCAGAUGGUUCAGCAGUUCUCUGUGGACUUUGAAAAGCGUAUCGAGGGUUCUGGAGAUCAGAUAGACACAUAUGAGCUGUCUGGAGGAGCCAGGAUCAAUCGCAUCUUCCACGAGCGUUUCCCCUUCGAGCUGGUGAAGAUGGAGUUUAAUGAGAAGGAGCUGCGUAAGGAGAUCAGCUACGCCAUCAAGAACAUUCAUGGCAUCAGGACGGGCCUCUUCACACCGGACAUGGCCUUUGAAACCAUUGUGAAAAGGCAGAUCUCCAAGAUUAAAGAGCCUUGCCAGAAAUGUGUGGAUAUGGUCAUAAGUGAGCUAGUCAAUACUGUUAGGCAGUGUACCAAGAAGCUAGCCCAGUAUCCCAUGCUGAGGGAAGAGAUGGAGAGGAUCGUCACACAACACAUCCGAGAUCGGGAGAGCCGAACUAAAGAUCAGGUGUUGCUGUUGAUCGACAUUGAGUUGGCGUACAUGAACACUAACCAUGAAGACUUCAUCGGAUUUGCCAAUGCUCAGCAGAGAAGUAGUCAGAUAAAGAAGAAGGCAGCUGGUAAUCAGGAUGAGAUCAUGGUGAUCAGGAAGGGUUGGCUGACCAUUAACAACAUUGGGAUCAUGAAGGGUGGGGCUAAGGAGUAUUGGUUUGUCCUGACAGCUGAAUCUCUGUCCUGGUACAAGGAUGACGAGGAGAAAGAGAAGAAGUACAUGCUGCAGGUGGACAAUCUGAAAUUCAGAGAUGUGGAGAAAGGUUUCAUGUCCAGCAAACACAUCUUUGCCUUGUUCAACACUGAGCAGAGGAACGUGUACAAGGACUACAGACAGUUGGAGUUAGCCUGUGAGAGUCAGGAGGAGGUGGACGGAUGGAAAGCUUCAUUCCUGCGAGCUGGCGUCUACCCUGAACGUGUGGUGGAGAAAGAUAAGAGCGACGCCGGUGAGGAGAACGGUUCAGAUGGUUUCAUGCACUCCAUGGAUCCACAGCUGGAGAGGCAGGUGGAGACCAUCCGUAACCUGGUGGACUCCUACAUGGGUAUCGUCAACAAAACCGUACGAGACCUGAUACCCAAGACCCUCAUGCACCUCAUGAUAAACAAUACUAAAGAGUUCAUCAAUGCCGAGCUGUUGGCUCAGUUGUAUUCGUGUGGAGAUCAAAACACGCUCAUGGAGGAAUCGGCAGAACAGGCCCAGCGUCGAGAUGAAAUGUUGCGUAUGUAUUUCGCUCUUAAAGAAGCGCUGAACAUCAUCGGAGACAUCAGCACCACCACGGUCACCACAGCUCUGCCUCCACCCGUGGAUGACUCGUGGCUUCAGGUGCAGCGCACCGGCUCUGGAGGACGCUCACCAGCCACAAGUCCGACUCCUCAGAGACGAGCUCCUCCUCCAGGUCCUCCUGGACGUCCAGGUUCACGUGGUUCGGCCCCGGGUCCUCCAGCUGCAGGUGGGCCGCCCGUUCCAUCUCGUCCAGACCCCUUCGGUGGGGCUCCUCCUCAGGUCCCGUCCCGGCCUAACCGUGCCCCCCCGAGCGUGCCAAGUCGUGGAAUGUGAACUGCUAACCAGUGCGGUGGUGUGGAAUUACAAUCAGUGAUCAAUGAAGAUUAAUGCUUCUGUGGUCCUUAAGCUCACAGGCCAGAAGACGACACCAAACUCCCCUGAAGGCUGAACGAGCAACAUCUCUCGCCCCAACAGUCCCUGCUCCUGUUUCUUUCCAUCCUGAUAAAAACAAAACCACCAGCACCCCAGCAGCAACACCGGCAACAGAGAGACGGAAGAUGGAGGAACUCAACGAACCUUCAGAUGUUUCUCCUCAUAACAUCAUCGAUGCUCAGCCACGGAGGUUGAUAGCUGAAGAAAAAGAUCCUGAUCAUGGUGAUACCAUCUCUCUUUAUUUAAACUACCACAGUCAUUGGUCAAAUAUCACAACCUUUCAAACUUUUACGCUUUUGUUCUUAUUUCACUUAAAAAUAUAUGAAUCCUUCUUAUAGGGAUAUAAAUCCAUUUGUUUUGUCCAAAACGUGUUGGUGUUAUAAAGAUUUGAUGUAUGUUCACCCUAUGGUGUUAUAAAGAUUUGAUGUAUGUUCACCCUAAAAAAUUCAUAAUUAAUCAUUUAUGUAAUCAAAUCUGAUUCAGAGAGGCUGGAUUGAAUUACAGAGUGCAAUAUAUUUAGAGAUGAGACGUGUUUACAUGCAGAUCAAAUAUUCACAACUUUUAAAAGAUUUUAAUGUGGUUUAGGGUGAACUGGGUGGUUUGAUCAGACAUUUGUGUGUUUACAAUAACUUUCUUUUUUUAUUUUUAAGUGAGUAGACGGUGUAAUAAUGCUGGAGACUGUUGAACAUUCAGGUUCACUUUUAGCAGAUAAACUCAGAAUCAAAUACAAGCUUACUGCACACUU